GCAGUCGAACGAGUUCUGAUGUAUUGAAAGGUGCUUGCAUCUUGAUUUAAUUUUGAACGAGUGGCGGACGGGUGAGUAACACGUGGGUAACCUGCCCUUAAGUGGGGGAUAACAUUUGGAAACAGAUGCUAAUACCGCAUAAAUCCAAGAACCGCAUGGUUCUUGGCUGAAAGAUGGCGUAAGCUAUCGCUUUUGGAUGGACCCGCGGCGUAUUAGCUAGUUGGUGAGGUAACGGCUCACCAAGGCAAUGAUACGUAGCCGAACUGAGAGGUUGAUCGGCCACAUUGGGACUGAGACACGGCCCAAACUCCUACGGGAGGCAGCAGUAGGGAAUCUUCCACAAUGGACGCAAGUCUGAUGGAGCAACGCCGCGUGAGUGAAGAAGGCUUUCGGGUCGUAAAACUCUGUUGUUGGAGAAGAAUGGUCGGCAGAGUAACUGUUGUCGGCGUGACGGUAUCCAACCAGAAAGCCACGGCUAACUACGUGCCAGCAGCCGCGGUAAUACGUAGGUGGCAAGCGUUAUCCGGAUUUAUUGGGCGUAAAGCGAGCGCAGGCGGUUUUUUAAGUCUGAUGUGAAAGCCCUCGGCUUAACCGAGGAAGUGCAUCGGAAACUGGAAAACUUGAGUGCAGAAGAGGACAGUGGAACUCCAUGUGUAGCGGUGAAAUGCGUAGAUAUAUGGAAGAACACCAGUGGCGAAGGCGGCUGUCUGGUCUGUAACUGACGCUGAGGCUCGAAAGCAUGGGUAGCGAACAGGAUUAGAUACCCUGGUAGUCCAUGCCGUAAACGAUGAAUGCUAGGUGUUGGAGGGUUUCCGCCCUUCAGUGCCGCAGC
rnacentral:rRNA from 1 species